GAUGAACGCUGGCGGCGUGCCUAAUACAUGCAAGUCGAGCGAACAGACGAGGAGCUUGCUCCUCUGACGUUAGCGGCGGACGGGUGAGUAACACGUGGAUAACCUACCUAUAAGACUGGGAUAACUUCGGGAAACCGGAGCUAAUACCGGAUAAUAUAUUGAACCGCAUGGUUCAAUAGUGAAAGACGGUUUUGCUGUCACUUAUAGAUGGAUCCGCGCCGCAUUAGCUAGUUGGUAAGGUAACGGCUUACCAAGGCAACGAUGCGUAGCCGACCUGAGAGGGUGAUCGGCCACACUGGAACUGAGACACGGUCCAGACUCCUACGGGAGGAGGCAGUAGGGAAUCUUCCGCAAUGGGCGAAAGCCUGCCGGAGCAACGCCGCGUGAGUGAUGAAGGUCUUCGGAUCGUAAAACUCUGUUAUUAGGGAAGAACAAAUGUGUAAGUAACUAUGCACGUCUUGACGGUACCUAAUCAGAAAGCCACGGCUAACUACGUG
rnacentral:rRNA from 1 species